UGGUACCACAGGUUGAGCGGCAUCGCGCAUGCGUUUUAGCGCCAGCGCCACCGGCAUCCGCUUUAGUGCCCCUGCCUGCGGCAGAAUGGCGGUGGCCUGCUCCGAAGCUGAAGUGCCAGAACGAGGGGGUGACAGCUCAGCCUCCGGACCCUUACCAAGGAGGAAGUCGGGAGAGAGAGCGAGUGAGAAGUUCCUGAACCAUGAAAUCGUCCCAGCGGCACCCACAGCGGGAGCUGCGAUGAGUGUCCUGCUUCCUGGCUCCUUUCUUAACCUGGCCGCUAUCCUGUGGAAUGGUGGGCAAUGGGAUUGCGGGGGGCAGAGGGGGAACCACUGCUCGGGGAGGGCUGGGCAUCAGUCACCAGAUGAUGAGCAAUAGCAUCAUGCAUCGCUUGCUUUGCAACGUUCCCUCAUCAUUGUUAUUAUGAUUUCCCUGCCUUCUUUGUCCUAUUAAACUGUCUUUAUCCGAACUCAUGA